UAUUGGUCAAUGGGCGGGAGCCUGAACCAGCCAAGUCGCGUGAAGGAAGAAGGCUUUCGGGUUGUAAACUUCUUUUCUCAGGGACGAAGCAAGUGACGGUACCUGAGGAAUAAGCCACGGCUAACUACGUGCCAGCAGCCGCGGUAAUACGUAGGUGGCAAGCGUUAUCCGGAUUUACUGGGUGUAAAGGGCGUGUAGGCGGGAAAGCAAGUCAGAUGUGAAAACCAUGGGCUCAACCUGUGGCCUGCAUUUGAAACUGUUUUUCUUGAGUACUGGAGAGGCAGACGGAAUUCCUAGUGUAGCGGUGAAAUGCGUAGAUAUUAGGAGGAACACCAGUGGCGAAGGCGGUCUGCUGGACAGCAACUGACGCUGAGGCGCGAAAGCGUGGGGAGCAAACAG
rnacentral:rRNA from 1 species